rnacentral:rRNA from 1 species
CCUACGGGUGGCAGCAGUGAGGAAUAUUGGUCAAUGGGCGUAAGCCUGAACCAGCCAAGUCGCGUGAGGGAUGAAGGUUCUAUGGAUCGUAAACCUCUUUUAUAAGGGAAUAAAGUGCGGGACGUGUCCCGCUUUGCAUGUACCUUAUGAAUAAGGAUCGGCUAACUCCGUGCCAGCAGCCGCGGUAAUACGGAGGAUCCGAGCGUUAUCCGGAUUUAUUGGGUUUAAAGGGUGCGUAGGCGGGCUUUUAAGUCAGCGGUGAAAGGCUGGGGCUCAACCAUAGAAUUGCCGUUGAAAUUGGGAGGCUUGAGUUGGUUUGAGGCAGGCGGAAUGCGUGGUGUAGCGGUGAAAUGCUUAGAUAUCGCGCAGAACCCCGAUUGCGAAGGCAGCCUGCCAGGCCAUGACUGACGCUGAUGCACGAAAGCGUGGGGAUCAAACAGGAUUAGAUACCCGUGUAGUC